rnacentral:sRNA from 1 species
CUUGAUUUACAAUCGUUAAAAAGCAUAAGUAUGUGGCGUAGAAUGAUUUACAAGGUAUUUUAAAAAGGGUUUGCAUUUUUUACAAUCGUUUUUAAAGGGGUUUUCUAAUAUGAUAAUU